CAUCUACUCCCUCCGUUCCAAAUUACUUGUCUUGGAUUUGUCUAGAUACGGAUGUAUCUAGACUUAUUUUAGUGCUAGAUACCUCCGUAUCUAGACAAAUCUAAGACAAGUAGUUCGGAACAGAGGGAGUAAGAC
rfam:Triticum aestivum genome assembly, contig: Triticum_aestivum_CS42_TGACv1_scaffold_556692_7AL